CGAUGCGUAGUCACCUCCUCGUUGGUGAGACCUGGUAAUUGGCAUCUUUUUCCAAAGAUUUUUAAACAUUUGAUUUUAAAUAAAAUUUUAUUCGAAAGAUUCGAAAAAAUUAUAUUGAAAAAUAUUUAUUUUUCGAAAAGUGAUGCCAAGCUAAGAACUACGUAUUAGUUUAAGUCUAGAUCUCAUAAGAUUUCUUUUGAAUAUUUUGAUCAUCUAUAGAUAUUAUAUGCUAUGCGCAUCCUUCAUUACACAUUAGGGUAUUAUACUAAGGAUUAGAUGUAAUUGCCAAUUUGUAAUUAGAUAAUUUAGAUAACAAUGAUCGUCUAUAAUAUCGAUCUAAUACACACAAAGUAAUAUUGCAUUCCUGAUUUAUUACAUGCUAACAUGUUAACAUCAAUGUUAAAUUUAAUUCGAUACAGUUUUUGUUUCAAAGUUCAAAGUUUUGAAAUUAUAGUCAGCUAGAGUUUACUUUUUGUUAAAAACAAAAAAACAAAAAUCAUGACAAAAUAUAUUAAAAAUAUAUGUUUAUUUGUUAUCUAAUCUUUCUCAAAAUUUUCACGUUCAAUAUUUUUCCGAUUUAAUCGAAUGCACUUUCCCUCCUGCCAGUUUUCAAACACGUACAUACGUGUCUGAUUUAAUCAGAUUCUUGAGAAGAAGCUUACUUCGAAGCUUUUACAUCAUCAUUUUCGAAUAUUGUCCUCUCGAAUUAUUUUUAGAAAAGUGAAAUAAAACAUAUUAAUCUCGGGAUGCAAAUAUAGGACGUGAAAUAUCAUUUGAACGAUCUUUUUUUUUCUUUUUUGUCCAAAAAUUCUAUAAAACGAAUAACAACUUUGGAACACAUGUUACUUUGAUGUAAUAUCCGAUGGUGUAUUACACGUGAUCGAUUUUUUUUUUGAAAUAUAUUUUUGAUUAUUUAUUCAUAAAACUGACAUAGGAUAUCGUUUUUAUUUAUUUAUUUUUUUUUAAUUUGUUCGUAAUAUAAUUUAUCAAAUACACGGAUAACGGUUGAAACAAAUUAUUAUCGUAAAAUUGAUAUAUGUAAUAUUUCUUUGCAAAGUUAGCAUAUUUCGUGUUUUUUUUUUCUUUUUUAAAAUCACCUCAUCAAUAUUUAUAAUUUCAUCAUGUCAAAAUAUAAUUUAUCAAGAAUAUUUUAUAAAAUAUUGAUACGAAAAAAUAUUCAUUUCCAUGCGUGCAAGUAAACGAGAUGAUUUUGUGCAAAGAUACUAUUGUUCCAUCGGUCUAAUACGUCUUAACGAGUUGACGCAAGUACCAAAGUCAACGGAUCGAAUUAUCCGCAAGCUUACGUCGAAACCACGCUUCGAUCGGUUGUUUAUCCUGGACAAUGAGCUACCAAUAUCAGUUAUAGGGGCUGUUCAGGGAUAUUAAACGAUCAGAGGGUAGAAAAUCCAUGGCAGGAUGUCAUGUGAUAACAACGAUGCCUCGGAAUAUACGGAAAGUAGUAUACGAUUACGGCUACUUCCUUAAGUCACUCCGUUCUACGGAAUCACGAUUAAUCGGAGCGUGGGUGAAGUAGAUCAACACCAAGCUGGUGCAAACUUUUAACUAUCAAGGAGCUGGAGCAGGAAAGUUUGGCGGAGAGUUCGUCUAUCCGAAAUAAUUCCAAAAGCUAUCGACUCCUCCAUUGGAAUUAAACAGCGUUACGGCCUAGACGUCACCGAUUACGUUACCCUGGAAGUAGCUCGAACGAAACUCGUUAUACCUGAUACCAGAAUCAUCCGGAGGAACAGGUAAGAAAGAGGGAUGCGGCGAAUCGGUGGAGCGAGAUCGUCUGGAACGAAGAGAAAGAAACUCGAGCGAGGCACGUGUUCGUGAAACGAAGCAAACCUCUAGUGUAACUUCUCUCUUAGACGAAGACGAUACUAAAAAUCAGAUGUGCGAGAGUGAGAAACAGAAACGUAUAAGCGACAAGGAGAAAUAAAGAAAGAAAUAGGAGGAGGCUUGGAAAAACCGACAAGGAGAGGACAUGAUAGAGAAAAGAGAUAGGUAUCGAAGGAACGAAGACAGAAAUUAGUGGAAGAAAAGGGAAAGGAAUAAAGAAAUUCGAGAGGAGAGAAAUAUUCGAAUAAUAAAGAUGGAAAUAAGCAGAAAGAAAGUGAGAUAAUAUAACGAAUAAAGAUAAAUAUCGGUAGAAAAACGAAGAAAAGUCAAUGAAAAGAAAAACAGUGGAUUUAAGAAAGGAUAAAGAGAAAAGGUAACGAAAAAGAAAAGAAAGAUAAGAAAAUCUGAAAGAACCGAUAAAGAGAAGUACCAUCAACCGUGUGCUAUCAAAAAGGAACGCGCAAACGUGACAAGGAACAAAAGCCAAAUUUGACGAAGAAAAGAAACUUCCAAUAUAUAUGGAAUGUAAAUUUUGAAAACGAAGAAAACUGAAAAAGAGAUAUAAACGUGUAAGAAAGGCCCUUACGCAGAAAAGGAAACGUGAAACCGUGAGACGAGGAUACAAUCCAGCAACCUCGAUAGAGAAAAGGAAGCGCGCAAGCUGGGCUAAGAGGGGCAAGAGAGCAGUAACGGGAGUCGAGGAGGUGGAGGAUGAGGCGGAGGAGUAGGAGGAGGAGAGGAGAGAUUUGUGAAGGUACGAGAAAGCAGCAGAGGUAGCAGCAGUGGCAGCAGCAGUGCCCGGGCAUCAGGGCCACAGUUUGUAAUGCGCAUGCGCCAACGUAUGUACGGUAGACGGUUGUUCCUGGUGCGGGCUGCAGGCGGCACGGAGCGAAUGGGGGGGCGCGGGGUGGAUGUCAGAGGGUGCCCGUAGGAAGUUUAU